ACUCCUACGGGAGGCAGCAGUGGGGAAUCUUGCCCAAUGGGCGAAAGCCUGAGGCAGCAACGCCGCGUGCGGGAUGAAGGCCCUUGGGUUGUAAACCGCUUUCAGCAGGGACGAAAAUGACGGUACCUGCAGAAGAAGCCCCGGCCAACUACGUGCCAGCAGCCGCGGUAAGACGUAGGGGGCGAGCGUUGUCCGGAUUUAUUGGGCGUAAAGAGCUCGUAGGCGGCUCAGCAAGUCAGGUGUGAAACCUCCAGGCUUAACCUGGAGACGCCACCUGAUACUGCUGUGGCUGGAGUCCGGUAGGGGAGCAGGGAAUAUCCGGUGUAGCGGUGAAAUGCUUAGAUAUCGGGUGGAACACCAGUGGCGAAGGCGCUGCUCUGGGCCGGUACUGACGCUGAGGAGCGAAAGCGUGGGUAGCAAACAGGAUUAGAUACCCUGGUAGUCCACGCCGUAAACGUUGGGCACUAGGUGUGGGACCCUAUCGACGGGAUCA
rnacentral:rRNA from 1 species